GGAGGAAAGUAGGGGAUCGAAAGACCUUAUGCUUUUGGAGCGGCCGAUGUCUGAUUAGCUAGUUGGUAAGGUAAUGGCUUACCAAGGCAACGAUCAGUAGUUGGUCUGAGAGGACGACCAGCCACACUGGGACUGAGACACGGCCCAGACUCCUACGGGAGGCAGCAGUGGGGAAUUUUGGACAAUGGGCGCAAGCCUGAUCCAGCAAUGCCGCGUGAGUGAAGAAGGCCUUCGGGUUGUAAAGCUCUUUCAGUUGAGAAGAAAAGAUUGUAACUAAUAAUUGCAAUCCAUGACGGUAUCGACAGAAGAAGCACCGGCUAACUACGUGCCAGCAGCCGCGGUAAUACGUAGGGUGCGAGCGUUAAUCGGAAUUACUGGGCGUAAAGGGUGCGCAGGCGGUUUUGUAUGUCAGAUGUGAAAUCCCCGGGCUUAACCUGGGAACUGCGUUUGAAACUACAAGGCUAG
rnacentral:rRNA from 1 species